rnacentral:rRNA from 1 species
GACGAACGCUGGCGGCGUGCCUAAUACAUGCAAGUCGAACGCUUUUUCUUUCACCGGAGCUUGCUCCACCGAAAGAAAAAGAGUGGCGAACGGGUGAGUAACACGUGGGUAACCUGCCCAUCAGAAGGGGAUAAUACUUGGAAACAGGUGCUAAACCCGUACAACACUAUUAUCCGCAUGGAAGAAAGUUCAACGGCUUUUUUUCGUCACUGACGGAUGGACCCGCGUUGGAUUAGCUAGUUGGUGAGGUAACGGCUCACCAAGGCAACGAUGCAUAGCCGACCUGAGAAGGUAAUCGGCCAAAGUGGGACUGAGAAUCGGCGAAGACUCAUACGGGAGGUAGCAGUGGGGAAUCUUCGGCAAUGGACGUAAGUCUGACCGAGCAACGCCGCGUGAGUGAAGAAGUUUUUCGGAUCGUAAAACUCUGUUGUUAGAGAAGAACAAGGAUGAGAGUAAAACGUUCAUACCUUGACGGUAUCUAACCAGAAAGCCACGGCUAACUACGUGCCAGCAGCCGCGGUAA